rnacentral:lncRNA from 10 species
GCACUGAACUCCCAGACUUAGCUGGGCCUCAGUGCUCUUCUUGGGUUUGGUCAUAGAGCCCAAGAGGAGGUGGAUAAGCUGCCUGACACUGAUAUGGUAAAAGGAUUAUCUGCAAAUUUCUAGCGUCAUCAAGACUGGCCUCUUUGAAGAGAUCAGCAAUGUGUUUAGAUGCUGAUGGAAGGAGCCAGAAAAAAGGAAAAGGAGAAUAUUGAGGUGAGACGAGAUCUCCAAAUGCCCAGGUCACGACCCCCAGGAGACCUGGAGGACUGAAUGCUGCUGCCCCCAAGGAGGAGGCUGCCGUCUUAUCCCAGGAGGGAGAGCAGGUGAAGUCCCCAGGGGAGGAAGCACCUAGCCCCAUUCCUGCUGAGCAGGAGGUGGCAGGUACCCCAGACUGGGAGGUAAGGACAGCCCGGGGCUUCGACUGAACGUCUCCAGCGUGGGUCCAACUGAGCAGCCAUGGAGCACUGCAGAGUGGGAGGCAGCAGGGCAGGGAGGCAGUGCUGGAGGCUGGCUCAACCCCAAGACCAGCAGGCCAAGCUGCCAUCCCAGGGGAGCGAGGACGUCUGUGCAGAGCUGAGAGGCAGCAGCCAUGUGUGAACAGACUGGGCCUCAUCCUGGCCCCACCGACUUUGUGUGGACAGAGCCUGUUUCCCUGUCUGUGCAACACAGAACCUGCCUGAUCUCACUGCUGGAUCCCUCUUCUUCCUGCCAGGAAAAUAAAAAGGUUCAAAAGGAAGUUGCUGCGUAUCCAUCUG